rnacentral:lncRNA from 1 species
GAGGUCACGGGAGUUAGGAGUGUGAUUCCUUCAGUUAGGAGUGUGAUUGAGGCCAGAAAGAACCGAGUUCUCCGGGCAACAGACCAGUGCUGCUUCUGAGCCUUGCACUCGGGCACAUGUCAUCUCCCCUAAGUGAAGGACAAACAUAACACCGUGCCCAACACACACCUAGGAAACUUGGGGAAACGGAACAACUUGGAACAUCGAACUGGAGGAAAUGAGGGUGGGGUGGAGUGGGGAUGCCAAUCUCCACCCUAACGAGGGUAUUACACACCAAAAAAGUGAGUUAAAACACAGCAAAGCAAACUAGAUCGCUCUCACUCAGUGGUGACUAGAGGCAAAGGGACUUACACCAGGAGCCCUGGCCCAGGGAGUGGAUAGGAAGCCUUUUGUCACUAAGUCCGCGCUGUCGAGAAUUGAAGGAAGGAUGUUGGGCAAAUGGGACUGCGUAGGAUGAAGUUACGGUCUCCCAGCUCACGGUCCAGAGGAAACGGAUCUCCCCCGUGGACGGAGAGGUGGAAACCGAGCAAGAGAGCUGAGUGGUUGACAUCAUCAGGCUGAGCAUUGGGUUACAACAAAUGGGGACUUACUUGGCCCGGGACGUGGGAAACACCCACUAAAACCUCGAAGUGCAUUUCAUUUAGAGACGCCGAGAGGGAGAGAGGGCAAGAAAGAAUCCAGGCUGCACCGCUGGCCUGGUCUGCUGAUCUCGCUAACCCUCAAAAGGGAGGCGUUUUGAAUGCUGGUUUCUUAAAUUCUUCCUUGGCUUGGACUGAGGAGCCCUGGACCUUGGAGAAACUCUGCUCUUAAUUUCCACACUGAUUACUCAACAGCGGAAAAUCGGAAGAGAUGCAAGUAGGAAAAAGAAACUAAACCAGGUGGGUAGUCACACUGUUCUUACCAAUCUACUGUCACAUCCCAAGCGUUUCUGUGUAAAUAGCUUUCUUUCUGUUUGAACGAAUAAAUCGGUCCCAAGUGAAAUUAGAA